rnacentral:rRNA from 1 species
AGUGAACGCUGGCGGUAGGCCUAACACAUGCAAGUCGAACGGCAGCACAGUAAGAGCUUGCUCUUACGGGUGGCGAGUGGCGGACGGGUGAGGAAUACAUCGGAAUCUACUUUUUCGUGGGGGAUAACGUAGGGAAACUUACGCUAAUACCGCAUACGACCUACGGGUGAAAGCAGGGGAUCUUCGGACCUUGCGCGAUUGAAUGAGCCGAUGUCGGAUUAGCUAGUUGGCGGGGUAAAGGCCCACCAAGGCGACGAUCCGUAGCUGGUCUGAGAGGAUGAUCAGCCACACUGGAACUGGGACCCGGUCCAGACUCCUACGGGAGGCAGCAGUGGGAAAUAUUGGACAAUGGGCGCAAGCCUGAUCCAGCCAUACCGCGUGGGUGAAGAAGGCCUUCGGGUUGUAAAGCCCUUUUGUUGGGAAAGAAAAGCAGCAGGUUAAUACCCCGCUGUUCUGACGGGACCCAAAGAAUAAGCACCGGCUAACUUCGU